rnacentral:rRNA from 1 species
UGGGGAAUACUGGGCAAUGGGCGAAAGCCUGACCCAGCAACGCCGCGUGAAGGAAGAAGGUCUUCGGAUUGUAAACUUCUGUUGCAGGGGACGAAGGAAGUGACGGUACCCUGUGAGGAAGCCCCGGCUAACUACGUGCCAGCAGCCGCGGUAAUACGUAGGGGGCGAGCGUUGUCCGGAAUUACUGGGCGUAAAGGGUGCGUAGGCGGCACCGUAAGUUGGAUGUGAAAUGCCUGGGCUCAACCCAGGACUUGCAUCCAAGACUGCGGAGCUAGAGUACAGGAGAGGGAAGCGGAAUUCCUAGUGUAGCGGUGAAAUGCGUAGAUAUUAGGAGGAACACCGGUGGCGAAGGCGGCUUUCUGGACUGACACUGACGCUGAAGCACGAAAGCGUGGGGAGCAAACAG